rnacentral:rRNA from 1 species
AUUGAACGCUGGCGGCAGGCCUAACACAUGCAAGUCGAGCGGUUGACGGGAGCUUGCUCCCUGAUUCAGCGGCGGACGGGUGAGUAAUGCCUAGGAAUCUGCCUAUUAGUGGGGGACAACGUUUCGAAAGGAACGCUAAUACCGCAUACGUCCUACGGGAGAAAGCAGGGGACCUUCGGGCCUUGCGCUAAUAGAUGAGCCUAGGUCGGAUUAGCUUGUUGGUGAGGUAAUGGCUCACCAAGGCGACGAUCCGUAACUGGUCUGAGAGGAUGAUCAGUCCAACUGGAACUGAGACACGGUCCAGACUCCUACGGGAGGCAGCAGUGGGGAAUAUUGGACAAUGGGCGAAAGCCUGAUCCAGCCAUGCCGCGUGUGUGAAGAAGGUCUCCGGAUUGUAAAGCACUUUAAGUUGGGAGGAAGGGUUGUAGAUUAAUACUCUGCAAUUUUGACGUUACCGACAGAAUAAGCACCGGCUAACUCUGUGCCAGCAGCCGCAUAACAC